rnacentral:rRNA from 1 species
AGAGUUUGAUCAUGGCUCAGAGCGAACGCUGGCGGCAGGCCUAACACAUGCAAGUCGAACGGGCCCUUUCGGGGGUCAGUGGCAGACGGGUGAGUAACGCGUGGGAACGUGCCCAUCGGUUCGGGAUAACCCAGGGAAACUUGGGCUAAUACCGGAUACGCCCUUUUGGGGAAAGAUUCAUUGCCGAUGGAUCGGCCCGCGUCUGAUUAGCUUGUUGGUGAGGUAACGGCUCACCAAGGCGACUCANNAGCUGGUCUGAGAGGAUGAUCAGCCACACUGGGACUGAGACACGGCCCAGACUCCUACGGAGGCAGCAGUGGGGAAUAUUGGACAAUGGGCGCAAGCCUGAUCCAGCCAUGCCGCGUGAGUGAUGAAGGCCUUAGGGUUGUAAAGCUCUUUCCCCACGACGAUAAUGACGGUAGUGGGAGAAGAAGCCCCGCUAACUUCGUCCAGCAGCCGCGGUAAUACGAAGGGGGCUAGCGUUGCUCGGAAUCACUGGGCGUAAAGGGCGCGUAGGCGGCCGAUCAAGUCAGGGGUGAAAGCCUGUGGCUCACCACAGAAUUGCCUUUGAUACUGUUUGGCUCGAGACCGGAAGAGGUUGGUGGAACUGCGAGUGUAGAGGUGAAAUUCGUAGAUAUUCGCAAGAACCCAGUGGCGAAGGCGGCCAACUGGUCCGGUUCUGACGCUGAGGCGCGAAAGCGUGGGGAGCAAACAGGAUUAGAUACCCUAGUAGUCC